rnacentral:lncRNA from 1 species
CAAGUUGAUCACUUCUUCUUGUUAUUAUUAUCAUUUAUCUAGGAUUUAAUCAGUAGAUAUUUGAACUUUAAAUACUUCAUAUGAUGCACAAUCACGGGAGAGUUACAACAAACCCUUUUUCUCGUAAAUAAAGCAAAUCUACAGCCACCACUUACUAUAAAUUUUGGGCACCCUCAGUCCAGUAUCUCCAGACUGUGAAAUAAUUACAACAACUAGUCCCACUCGAUAUUCAAGUUUAGGAGAUGAAAAAAUACCUUAUGCUCCAGAGGAACGGAACAAAUUUAAAUCGAAACACUCUACUGAUGAAUCUCCACAAACCCCUUCCCCACGAAAGGAAAGCCUGAAACCUACAUCAAUACCAAACGAUCCAGAAUCGGCUAAACCUAUAACAAAACGAGGACUUCGUCGUCAAAGUACUGCCUAUGAUGAAAUACUUUCAGUUCGUCCUCCAUCGAACGGUUUAACAGGUAAUAAUUUACUUCCAAUUUGGGAUGAUGAAAAGGAAAAUGGAAUUCAGGAAAGUGUAAAUGUUGUAAAUGAUGUUCGUGAUGAACUCAUUGUCUUUGAAACGAAUGGAACAAAUAAAUUCCUACAUCCUCCUCCUGAUUACCAUAACAAUUCCAGGAGCAUAAGUUCAACCUUUAAAAAAAGACAUGAACCUUGGGCACUUAGCGUUAAUGAAUCUCUGGAAAAGGCUAAAGGUGAGAUCAGGCAUGACUGAGAUCCCUUAAAAUGAUUAUUUUAUAAAAUAGUUUCUUUGUUUAA